AUGGGAGGUUACCUCUCCGACCUUGGCGCUCGCUACUUCGGCAUGCGUGCCCGUCUUUGGAACAUUUGGAUCCUCCAGACAGCCGGUGGAGUCUUCUGCAUCUGUCUUGGUCGUGCAUCCAGUCUCCCCACCUCCGUCACAUGCAUGGUCCUCUACUCCAUUUGCGUCGAGGCUGCAUGCGGCGCAGUCUAUGGUGUCAUCCCCUUCGUCUCCAGGCGCUCCCUUGGGCUCAUCUCUGGCAUGAGCGGUGCUGGUGGUAAUGUCGGUGGCGGCCUCACACAAUUCCUCUUCUUCACAUCAUCCCAGUACACCACAGGCAAAGGACUCCAGUAUAUGGGCAUCAUGAUCAUGGUGUGCACGCUUCCUGUCGCGCUCGUUCACUUCCCACAGUGGGGCUCAAUGCUCCUCCCUCCUAGCGCCGAUGCCACCGAGGAGGAGUACUAUGGUGCCGAAUGGACCGAGGAAGAGAAGAGCAAGGGCCUCCACAUCGCCGGCCAAAAGUUCGCCGAGAAUAGCAUCUCUGAGCGUGGCAAACGCAAUGCCAUCCUCGCCGUACCUUCCAGCCCACCAAACAACACGCCCCAGCACGUAUAA
rnacentral:rRNA from 1 species